AGAGUUUGAUCAUGGCUCAGAUUGAACGCUGGCGGCAGGCCUAACACAUGCAAGUCGAACGGUAACAGGAAGCAGCUUGCUGCUUUGCUGACGAGUGGCGGACGGGUGAGUAAUGUCUGGGAAACUGCCUGAUGGAGGGGGAUAACUACUGGAAACGGUAGCUAAUACCGCAUAACGUCGCAAGACCAAAGAGGGGGACCUUCUGGCCUCUUGCCAUCGGAUGUGCCCAGAUGGGAUUAGCUAGUAGGUGGGGUAACGGCUCACCUAGGCGACGAUCCCUAGCUGGUCUGAGAGGAUGACCAGCCACACUGGAACUGAGACACGGUCCAGACUCCUACGGGAGGCAGCAGUGGGGAAUAUUGCACAAUGGGCGCAAGCCUGAUGCAGCCAUGCCGCGUGUAUGAAGAAGGCCUUCGGGUUGUAAAGUACUUUCAGCGGGGAGGAAGGGAGUAAAGUUAAUACCUUUGCUCAUUGACGUUACCCGCAGAAGAAGCACCGGCUAACUCCGUGCCAGCAGCCGCGGUAAUACGGAGGGUGCAAGCGUUAAUCGGAAUUACUGGGCGUAAAGCGCACGCAGGCGGUUUGUUAAGUCAGAUGUGAAAUCCCCGGGCUCAACCUGGGAACUGCAUCUGAUACUGGCAAGCUUGAGUCUCGUAGAGGGGGGUAGAAUUCCAGGUGUAGCGGUGAAAUGCGUAGAGAUCUGGAGGAAUACCGGUGGCGAAGGCGGCCCCCUGGACGAAGACUGACGCUCAGGUGCGAAAGCGUGGGGAGCAAACAGGAUUAGAUACCCUGGUAGUCCACGCCGUAAACGAUGUCGACUUGGAGGUUGUGCCCUUGAGGCGUGGCUUCCGGAGCUAACGCGUUAAGUCGACCGCCUGGGGAGUACGGCCGCAAGGUUAAAACUCAAAUGAAUUGACGGGGGCCCGCACAAGCGGUGGAGCAUGUGGUUUAAUUCGAUGCAACGCGAAGAACCUUACCUGGUCUUGACAUCCACGGAAGUUUUCAGAGAUGAGAAUGUGCCUUCGGGAACCGUGAGACAGGUGCUGCAUGGCUGUCGUCAGCUCGUGUUGUGAAAUGUUGGGUUAAGUCCCGCAACGAGCGCAACCCUUAUCCUUUGUUGCCAGCGGUCCGGCCGGGAACUCAAAGGAGACUGCCAGUGAUAAACUGGAGGAAGGUGGGGAUGACGUCAAGUCAUCAUGGCCCUUACGGCCAGGGCUACACACGUGCUACAAUGGCGCAUACAAAGAGAAGCGACCUCGCGAGAGCAAGCGGACCUCAUAAAGUGCGUCGUAGUCCGGAUUGGAGUCUGCAACUCGACUCCAUGAAGUCGGAAUCGCUAGUAAUCGUGGAUCAGAAUGCCACGGUGAAUACGUUCCCGGGCCUUGUACACACCGCCCGUCACACCAUGGGAGUGGGUUGCAAAAGAAGUAGGUAGCUUAACCUUCGGGAGGGCGCUUACCACUUUGUGAUUCAUGACUGGGGUGAAGUCGUAACAAGGUAACCGUAGGGGAACCUGCGGUUGGAUCACCU
rnacentral:rRNA from 1 species